UCCGCGUUGUUACAUUAAUUUUGUUGUUGCUUGAUUUGGGCUUCUGAUGACACUAACAUUUCGACGUUUUAUGGUCUAAAGCCCGAUAGCCCAACAAAUUAAACCCUAAUCGUGUUCAUCUCUCUUCUCUGCUCAGAGGCGACCUCUGAACUUCACACUGAAUCUGAAACGGUCAGAGUUAUCGUGGCUUUGAAUACAGGCUUAGCUUGGUUGGUUGAGUCGGUGGACCUGCGAGUAUAAAUAGCACCAGUCAUUGUUCCGGUACGGUCCUCUCGCGUCUUCUGCGAUUCUGGGAAACCCGAGGGGGAGGAUAACUGAUGGGAUUGGACAUGCUCCUUCUUGAUUCAAAAGGAUUCAUGUUCUUCUGUUUGUGCUUCUGAACUCUUAUGUUGAUCCAGUGUACAAAGACUAUGGAGAUAAGGUAGCAAGAUGUAUCGCAUGGGUGCAUGAUCAGCAAUGUCACCAGGUGAUAUAGCUUUAAAGGUGUGGCUGAAUAGGUUUUCUAAGAUUCAUCUCAACUUCUCAUCAGCACUUCCAUCAUUACCAAACAGAUUUAUGGGCCUACCAAAAAUAGACAAGCUUUGCCAUUUCUGCUACUCUUCGUUUACAUGUACAGUGUGGUCAGAGUUGGAGAACAGAGGUGGCAGCUGCAAAUACUGAAGGAAGCUGAGAGCUUGACUUCUUGAAUGACAUCGACCUUGAUUCUCAAGUUAUGAUUUCCAUGCCUUUGUUCAAAAUAAAAUAUAACUAAUAGUGUGAUCUUUUCUAUUUUUUUUUUUUACUUAGUGGCCACGAUCAAGGAUUUCGAAAGAUUUUUUUUUGUAUCUAAAGACCUGCGAUAUAAUGUAAUAUUUUUAUCCAUUACUAUUUACUAUAUUCCAAACUUUA